ACAAGGAAGCUGCAUGGCAGGGAAGGCAGGUCCAUCAUGAAGAUGGAAAAAAAAAUCCUACAUGAACAGACAUAACAGACGCCAGGUGGUCAUGGAAAAGAAACCACCGCUGCAACUCAUAUCAGAGAGAGACAGAGAUAACACUGACCCAGAUUCAAUACUGUAUCCAGAUUCCUAAAACAGUAUUCUCUCUGCGAAGCAUUGUUUCCUUCCCAAACAAUGAGCCAAAAGUUAGCUGGCACAAUAUAGUAUAUUCUACAGGUGCAGUUUAGUAAACACAUCCAUGUUGCUUUCUA